rnacentral:rRNA from 1 species
AUGGAUGAGGACAAGGACAAGGAAUAUGAGGAGCAGAAUCUGUUUGUGGUUCCGCCAUUGCAAGCGGGUGCUGAUAUGUCGGAUGAUGAUACAUCAGAGGGGUAUAAGGAAUCAGCAGAUGAACUGGAAGGUGACACUAUGUCCGAGGAAUCACUUGUGCAUGUUGUCUCUAGUGAGGAGGAGGCAAGAGAAAGGAAAAGGAAAAAGAACAAGAGGCCAAGAGCCAAUGCUCCCGUUAGGACGUCAUCCAAUGUUUGGGCCCAUUUUCACAAGGUCAAGGAGCCAGAUGAGAAGACUGGAGAGAUUGUGUUGAAGGCUGUUUGUAAUUAUUGUAUUGAUAAGAAGUAUGCGUAUACGCAAGGUGGCAGCACCUCAACUAUUGGAAGGCAUCAUUUAAAAUGUAAGAAUUACAAGGCCAAGAUGGCUAGGGAUGCCAUCCAAACAACUCUGGAAUUGCGCAAAAUCAAUGGUACAGGAAGUGGUCCAACAAUGCACCCCUCUAUUGAGUAUGACCAAGGAAUUGUGAAGGAGCUUAUUGCUAAGAUGAUAUGUGUGCAUGAGUAUUCAUUUAGAAUGGUUGAACAUGAGUGGUUCAACAUUCUAAUGAAGUGCAUGAAUCCAAAUUAUAAACCCAUUGAAAGGAAGGCAAUACGAGCCGAGUGCAUGAGGGUCUACAAGAAAGAAAAAGAGGUGCUUAAAUCUGUCCUAAAGGGUGUGAGCUCCAUAUGUCUAACUACAGAUUUGUGGACAAGCAACCAAACCUUAUCUUACAUGUGUGUGGUUGCACACUACAUAGAUGGGAAUUGGAAUAUGCAAACCCGUGUUCUUGCUUUCAUAGAGUUGGACCCUCCUCACUCUGGAAAUGUCAUUGCAGAUGCUCUCUAUGCUUGUGUGACAGAAUGGAAUAUUGAGACCAAAAUAAUGUCCGUCACACUUGACAACGCUUCAAACAAUGAUGGUGCAGUCGAUGCUUUGAAGGCCAAGUUCUCGUUUCGGAGAGGUAAUGACUUCGAAAGACAGUAUUUUCAUAUCCGUUGUUGUGCACACAUCCUCAACUUGGUCGUGCAAGAUGGGACGGAGGUCUUAGAUAAUUUGAUAAACAGCUUGAGAGAGACGGUGAAGUACUUCAAGAGUUCACCUUCUCGUCUCCAUGCUUUUGUUGCCACUUGCAAAAGCUUGGGUGUCAAAGUUGGUAAUCAUUUACACCUGGAUUGUAAAACAAGGUGGAGUUCAACCUAUAAGAUGAUUAGCACUGCCCGUGAUUAUAAGGAAGCCUUGACCUCUCAUGCUGGUUCCAAUGCCAACUAUGCUUGGGCGCCGACAAACGCAGAGUGGGACAUGUAUGACCUUAUCUCUCCAUUACUUGAGAGUUUGGCUGAGGUGACAAAUGCAUUUUCAGGAAGUUUAUAUCCCACUUCGAACAUCUUCUAUCCAUACAUUGUUGGUGUCAAGCUUGCAAUCAAACGUGCAAUGACUAGUGAUAGUGACCACUACAAGGAAAUGGGUGAAGCAAUGUUGGAGAAGUUUGACAAAUAUUGGGAAGAAAAGAACAAUGCCAUGGUGAUCGCAACCGUCUUUGAUCCACGGUACAAGAUGAAUUACAUAGAGUGGGCCUUUGGAGAACUAUAUGGAGUAGAAGUACGAGGUGUAGGACUGAGAUGA